UUGCUCCUACGGGGCGCAGCAGUGGGGAAUAUUGCACAAUGGGGGGAACCCUGAUGCAGCGACGCCGCGUGAGCGAAGAAGUAUUUCGGUACGUAAAGCUCUAUCAGCAGGGAAGAAAAAAGGACGGUACCUGAGUAAGGAGCCCCGGCUAACUACGUGCCAGCAGCCGCGGUAAUACGUAGGGGGCAAGCGUUAUCCGGAAUUACUGGGUGUAAAGGGAGCGUAGACGGCA
rnacentral:rRNA from 1 species